UGGGGAAUCUUCCGCAAUGGGCGAAAGCCUGAUGCAGCGACGCCGCGUGCGGGAUGAAGGCCUUCGGGUUGUAAACCGCUUUUGAUUGGGAGCAAGCGAGAGUGAGUGUACCUUUCGAAUAAGCACCGGCUAACUACGUGCCAGCAGCCGCGGUAAUACGUAGGGGGCAAGCGUUAUCCGGAUUCAUUGGGCGUAAAGAGCUCGUAGGCGGCCCGUUAGGUCAGGAGUCAAAUUCGGGGGCUCAACCCCCGCGCGCUUCUGAUACCGGCGGGCUUGAGUUUGGUAGGGGAAGGUGGAAUUCCCAGUGUAGCGGUGGAAUGCGCAGAUAUUGGGAAGAACACCGGUGGCGAAGGCGGCCUUCUGGGCCAUAACUGACGCUGAGGAGCGAAAGCUAGGGGAGCGAACAGGAUUAGAUACCCUGGUAGUCCUAGCCGUAAACGAUGGACACUAGGUGUGGGCGAAUGUUUCGUCCGCGCCGCAGCCAACGCAUUAAGUGUCCCGCCUGGGGAGUACGGCCGCAAGGCUA
rnacentral:rRNA from 1 species